GUGCCAAAGUCACGCCUAAAUAAACUAGCACCACUACUGUCGUAGCGAUGCUUCUCAACGGAGAAACAAGCUUUGAAUAACUGGCAGAAGAUUAAUUUAGCUUGGGUUGUUGUGGAAACUUUUCUCUGCAUGUGCAUUUGGGGUGCAUUUUUUUCUUGAAAAUCAAAUAAUCUGUAAAGCACUUAUUUUCAAGAGUACGAAGUUUGAAGUGAAAUCUGAUCUUACGUCAUAGCUUCAGUACUUCAAUGUGAGUCAUCUGACUUAUCGGUUUAUUUAGUUUAGCGCCAUCGUGUGGUCAAUUUUAUGUAUUUCAGUUGUGGCAGAAAAUUUGUGCGUUGAGCACUGCAGUGGUGGCGGUGAGGUUCACAACAAAUAGCAAUUUGGCCUACGCCGAACAUUCAAACUCCACAAGGGAAGGCCAGAGCCUAGAUUUGAAUUACUUGUCAUCACUACCAUACAUUUUAUCAUAAUGGCAAUUUGAUUGUAUUUCUGAGCAAAAGAACUUUUUAAAAAUGCCACUGUACUUCCCUUUGUUGUGACACUAUUGCGACCCCAUGUCACGACUGCAAACCCGGAUCAAAGAGCCUUGAAAAGUGAUGUCACAGAGUAUAAAGUCCUCCUCUGUUCUCUUUGGUGUUAGUUGAGACUUCAGUGAGAACACGCAAGCGAAAACUGAAGGAGGAAUAGCCGAGUGGAGCUUUGGCUACCGAUGAAACGGACUGAUCUAAAAAUAGAGAUCAUUGAGGUGUGGUGGCUAAGAAGGUGGCAAAUUUCACGCAGUUCAAUGCCGAAAGUCAUAGGCCGCCAUAUAAAUGGCGCGUGAAUCACGUUCGUCCCAUUGGAGGCCGCCACAACACAUCGUCCAUUUCCACCCGGCAACAGCAAGGUGGCAUUGUGAGUGGCAGCGGCGCUGGCGACCGCGUUGGCCGUAGCGGUGAACGCCGUUUGCGGGACCAGCCUCGGCAUCAGCGGGACCAGACGGCGGCCUUCGAUGGACCACUCGGACGAGCUGUUCUGACCGGCCAUGCUGCGGGGACACGAAAGGUCUCCUUGGGCCCGUAAGGCGCUGAUGACGCUGGCGUACGCCUCCAGCUCUGGAGACAAGAGAACAUGCAUGUUGAUGUUGUGGGAGCUCCAACACCACAAAAGCACCUUGACCUGAACUUUCUGGAACAAUGUGACGAAAGCAUCACUUUACUCCGUAAAGUUAAAAGUAUCCUAUAAAUUGACCCUCGACCUUCUUUCAGCCAGGAGGGAUAGAUGAACCCUGGUUUUGUUCUCAUUUACAGUUUUGAUGGGACUCUUAGGCAGUGCUCAUAUUAAAUAGCUUUUUUUUUGUGCAAAAUACUAUUGUAAAAUAAACCACAGCACACAUACAAAACUUUUUUUUUGUUUUAAAUCACACAUGUAGCUGUAGCGCAAUAAGCUAGGUUGGCAUCCUCCUAAAUUCCAGUCAAAGUGAGUAAGUCAGUAUCAGGCAUUUUUUUUUUAAAUGAACAAACUUCAACAUGACAAAAACUGCUACUUUAACUUUUCGAACAGCUUCUCAUUAACUGAGCCGCUUAUCCUCACAAGGGUCACGGGGUGCUGGAGCCUAUCCUAGCUAUCUCGGGUGAUAGGGCACACCCUGGUUACCAG